UCCUGACCUCAAGUGAUUUGCCUGCCUUGGCCUUCCAAAGUGCUGGGAUUACAGGCGUGAGCCGCCGUGCCCAGCCCCAGACAUUGUUUUUAAGGAAAGCGGCUGUUACUGAGGUAUCCCUAUUCCUGGAGAGCAUCCACGGGGAAAGGAAAUGCUGAGCUAGGAUCAGGCUGGGGAAAGAGGCUGCAGCAUUUCCGUCCCCUUGCCAGGCUCAGCACAGCUGGGGCUGCUGACUGUGGACACACGCAGGAAAAGCCCUCGGCUUUGUCCCUGCCGCCUCCUAAAGCAACGAGCACGCUGACCACCACCCCAGAACACGUCUGAGGAAGCACCUGGAACCACGUGAAAAAAUAUGUCCUCAGAGUGACAUGACCAUUUAGAGGAAACAUAACUUAGUCCACUGAAAAAUCAGAAGAAGAAAAACAAAAAGGAGAACUUAGGCCCAAAGAAGAUGAGAAGUUUUAAAGCCUGUUAUCUUUGUUCCUUUUCUGUCCUUGGCCCUUACUCCAGAUCGCCUGGCAUGCAGCCAUGCUUCCUGCGGGGUCGGCAGCCCCUGCAGGCACCCACCUUCAGGAUCAUGUCCUCCACCACGGAUGCAUACACGUUCUUGUGGAGCGCCACGGGCUGCAGUGUGAUCCCAAUCUGGAAAAGCAGAAGAAAGCCAUUUGUUCGUAUCACUACUUUAAAAACAGCCUAUCUCUGAAGACGCACACCUCUCAGACACCCAGAGAUGCCUGGUUGGAAGGUGGACUUGAUAAACACGCUGGGCAAGAUUCACAGGAGAGUAACACAGAAUAUGACAACUAGAAGAAUAUGUUACCUCGUUUUUCUACAUUUCUGACCAACUGUUUAAAAUGCUACUGUGAUCCUAUUUAACUCUCAAAUCUCCUUCAUGGGAGAACAUGGUUGGGAUCUGCCUUGAGUUCUGCUAAGCGACCAACGCUCUGGAAGUUCUGGAAUCAGACUCCACUUCCUGUUUGCACUUGGACACAGCAUCCUGCCCAUUUUUCAUGGCAUCCAGUGAAAGCGCACUCUUCGGCCUUGGGCCCUGAGCACGGACAGAUGCCGACGAGCUAUGAGGCCCCAGCAGGGCAAUAAACACCUCUCCCCUGUGUGAUAAGGUAGGGGCACUCAGGACCCAGACACACAGCGGGGGAGGACUGCUCGCUGAAGCGCAAUUCAGAAAUGCCUCGUGAAGGCAAGGUGCUUCUCCUGAGGCAGAUGAGAAACAAGAUGAAACAGAGCCAACUGUUCAUAUCCAGCCAGCUGUGCCUCAAGUCUGCGUUCAGCAAGCAACCUUUUCACGUGCCAUCAGUGUUCCUGCCCCAGGGCGCUGAUGCAGGAAGCGGGGAGCCCAGAGAGCAACCUGGGUCAACCAGGCAGAACCUCUGAACAUCUGGGUGUGGGUCUGAGAGGCUGAACGUCCGGGUCUGGUUGCUGAGAGGCAGAAUGUCUGAGUCUGGUCUGGAAGAGUCUAAAUGCACAU